rnacentral:snoRNA from 1 species
AACCCAUGGUGAGGGCACCUUCUUAGUAAGUCCUUGUAUCCUCUCCCAUGCAUCGUAAAGUGUUCUAAAUCCAUCUGCACAAAAGAAGAGAUAUCAUUACGUAAUUU